UACAGAGGUCUCAACCGUUGUUCGGAUUCAUUGGGCGUAGAGGGUGCGUAGGCGGUCGUGUAAGUCGGAUGUGAAAUCCCGGGGCUCAACCCCGGAACUGCAUUCGAUACUGCAUGGCUAGGGUACUGGAGGGGAAACUGGAAUUUACGGUGUAGCAGUGAAAUGCGUAGAUAUCGUAAGGAAGACCAGUGGCGAAGGCGAGUUUCUGGACAGUUACCGACGCUGAGGCACGAAGGCCAGGGGAGCAAACGGG
rnacentral:rRNA from 1 species